AUACAAUACUAAAAGGGGAAUAAGGGCUUCCCACAUGCUUCCACGUCCUUAAUAAUAAUCAACCAAUAGGAUGUCUUUUUUUUUCCACGUCACGCGAAGGAUGGGCUGUUUUGUUUCUUUGAUCCGUAAAAUAUAAAAUUUGACACAAAAGCCCAAUCCAAAAUAAACCUAGCAAAACUCAUAAACAUCGUCUUUUUCUCUUUCUCACCUUCCCCAGUUUUCUACGUUUCUUCCCUACUGUAUCUAAGCCAUAAAUUGAACCUCUAAUAACAUAAACGUUCGACUUGCUUCAUUAUCGUCUCCACCUCUCUCCUUAUCUGCGAAAAUCAAUCAUAGUAUUCUAAUCUCUUGCUUUGUUUGAUUGCUUCCAUGUCAGUUGGCUUCCUUAAAAUAUAUUGGAUUCUUCUUCUUCCCUGGAAAAUUGAAGGUGCUUCCUCUUUUUUCCCUCUCUCUUACUUCUUAAUUGUUUUCAUAACUAAAUUGGAUAUGCGAUUCGAUCUAAUUUAGGGUUUUAGUAUCAAUAUUAUCCCAAUUUCGUUCAUAUCACAGCACUGUCUCUGGGUUCUAAAAAGAAAAGCUCUCAAUAUCUUAUUUUUCUCUGCCACAGAGAGAGAGAGAGAGAGAGAGAGAGAGAGAGAGAGAGAGAGAGAGAGAGAGAGAGAGAGAGAGAGAGAGAGAGAGAGAGAGAGAGAGAGAGAGCUAAAGGGGUUUCGAGUGAAGAUGAAGGAGGGAAAGCAAUAGAGACGUCACAGCCGACGGUGGCUCCUCCGGCGAAGCACAGCCGACAGCUAGGAGCUCAGCUGUCGGGAAGCAUGAGUUUCAGCAGACAAAUGUCGAAUGAAGACGAGGAGAUGUCGAGGACGGCUUUGUCUGCUAUCAGGGCGAAAGAAGAGGAGAUCGAGAAGAAUAAGAUGGAGAUUAGGGAAAGGGUUCAAGCUCAGCUUGGUCGUGUCGAAGAGGAGACUAAGCGCCUCGCUUUGAUCCGUGAGGAACUUGAAGGUUUAGCUGAACCCAUGAGGAAAGAAGUUGCUUUGGCCAGGAAGAAGAUUGAUUCUGUCAACAAAGAGUUAAAGCCUUUGGGUCAUACUGUUCAGAAAAAGGAACGAGAGUACAAAGAAGCUCUUGAAGCAUUCAACGAAAAGAACAGGGAGAAGGUGCAGCUAAUCACCAAGCUUACGGAGACUCGAGAAUAAUAAAUAAGAUUCAGUGAGAAAGGUGAAUCAGGCCAACAUGCAUGACGGCACAUCCAGAAAGUAAUUUACCUUCUUGAUACCAGCAAUCACAUGCAGCGGAACAAAACCAUGAUCAUCCAUGUGCCCACGAAGUUUUACGUUUAGAGGAAGAUCUUGGACUUGGUAAAAGACUGGACCAGGUGAGAGAGGGCUGAUGAAAGGCAUACGGGGAUAAUAUGGAGAUGCCAAUUCUGAAAUGAAAGACGCAUUAGAAAAAAAAAAGAGUUCCAAAACGUGAUCUUUCAAUGUAUCUCACUAGGAGGAAAAGGCACAUGCCCGCCAAAAGGCUGAAUAGGCUGAGCUGCCAUAAACUGAGGAGGAAUUGACUGCAUAGUUGGAGGUUGAUGUCUCACAAAUGCUGGGGCGCCUCUUUGUGAAUGUGCAUUUCCAUCUCUCCCACUAAAGCUUCUGCAAAAAUUCCAGUUUUGAUUCCCUUGCUCCUGGCUGCGCCUGCCACCAUGACUUUGGUGGUGGUGGUGGUGGUGGUUACCAUUUUGGUUCCUGUGCGAGUGCCGUGGUGAAAAGUUGUCACUACAACCACCAUGGGUUUGUGAUGCAGAGCCAUUCCUCUGGUUUUGGCCUCUAGGAGAAGGGUUGUGCGAAGGUGUUUCGACAAGUGGAUCUUGAGAAACAGUACCAUUAGCAGCGGAUCCAGAAGAGCUAUAGUAAUUUUUAAAAAAAUUUAUAAAAUAAAAAAAAUUUAAUAUAAAAUAAUUUUACUGUUGACUUACUAUUCUAAUAUUUCAAUUUGAAUAUUCUCUUUGUUUUAUAAUAUAAUGGUUUAAAAGUAUUUUUUGUUACACUAUAUAAAUUGUUUUUAUAUUUCAAUGUAACUUUAUAUUUAUUAUAUAUUGCGUGGCCAAUUAAAUUAUGUAAAUUACUGUAUAAUUGUUUAAAUUUAAAUAUUAAAUGACAGUUUUCUAAAGAAAUAACUUUUAAAUAUUACAGAUUUUAAUUAAAAUUGAUUACAUUUUGAAGCAGAUGGAGUAAUCUAUAAACUAACUCUAUAUAUAUACCUUGAAUUUCUCUCAUUAUGUGCAUUCCUAACUCGAAUGAGAUAAUCAACAUCUAAUAUUAUGUUACUCUCAGUAUAUUAGAAAUGAUCGAACCGUAAACCAAUUAAGGAUGAUGUAAGGAAGACAUAAAUAUGUAUUUCCAGUUAUCAUAAAAUAUAGAAUCAAUUGACAGCAACUUAAUUAUGUUCAGCGUAGAACAACAGAGAAGAGUUUCCAUAAUUUCUAAUAUUAUAAUAUCUCACUAUUUUAAGCUUUUCUCUAGCACAAAUACUCACUUUAUUCUGGAGUUUAAGCUUUUCUAUCUGAUGAUAUUAGUAGUUUGAUCCAAAAAAGAAAACAGUCGAACUGUACAUUGUAAUUGGAAAAAGAAAACAAACAAAGGUAUAUGAAACAAAAACUGGAAAUAUCAAUUAUCUGCAAUUAAAGAAUAAUAAAGCAAUAAAAUUGUAAAAAUACAAAAAAAUAAUUUACACAGAAAAAGAUUUAGUAAAAUAAAAUCGUAAUAUAAUUUUCAUAAUUGAUAGUGCUCAGUUAAAAAGUCUAAAUUUACAACAUACACAGUUUUAUUUACAUCUUUAAACCUAUUAUCUAAUUAAAAUGAUUCUAAGGAAAGUGCCAGCAUGAAGAGUUAGAAACUAUACGAUAAAAUAUAAUACAUAAUAUUAAAAAUACAUUACUGAU